GAUGAACGCUGGCGGCGUGCCUAAUACAUGCAAGUCGAGCGAAUGGAUUAAGAGCUUGCUCUUAUGAAGUUAGCGGCGGACGGGUGAGUAACACGUGGGUAACCUGCCCAUAAGACUGGGAUAACUCCGGGAAACCGGGGCUAAUACCGGAUAACAUUUUGAACCGCAUGGUUCGAAAUUGAAAGGCGGCUUCGGCUGUCACUUAUGGAUGGACCCGCGUCGCAUUAGCUAGUUGGUGAGGUAACGGAUCACCAAAGCCACGAUGCGUAGCCGACCUGAGAGGGUGAGCGGCCACACUGGGACUGAGACACGGCCCAGACUCCUACGGGAGGCAGCAGUAGGGAAUCUUCCGCAAUGGACGAAAGUCUGACGGAGCAACGCCGCGUGAGUGAUGAAGGCUUUCGGGUCGUAAAACUCUGUUGUUAGGGAAGAACAAGUGCUAGUUGAAUAAGCUGACACCUUGACGGUACCUAACCAGAAAGCCACGGCUAACUACGUGCCAGCCGCCGCAGUAA
rnacentral:rRNA from 1 species